UCUUCUCUUCCUCCCACCCAUCUUCUCUCUCCCGAGUGAGCUCCCGCGGGACGGCACCGACCCCAGCCCUGACCCCAGCCCUGGGCGGCGUGCCGGCGAGCCCGAGCUCCCAUGUGACGUUAUUAGCCCCGGCCCUAGGCAGCGGCGGCAUGCCCGGGCUCUUGUGCAACGGCCCCGGCCCCGGCCCCGUCCCUGGACGGCCGCGGCAGGGAGCCUGACUUCUGGACGGCCGCGGCCGCGGGCAGCCCGAGCUCCCGUGUGGCGAUGCCUGGGUCAGUCUUCUCUCUUUCUUUCCUCAAUCCACAACAGAUGCGAGCUCGAGCUUCAAAUCCGGGGUGGAUCUAAGGUGCGGGAGGGCGGAUUCGAGGUGAGGGUGGCUGGACCUCGCGGCGCCAUUGUGAAAUCGGGAGGGAAGGAGGCGGGAGAGGGUGGCAAGCUGGCGAGGAUGGCUCCUCGGGGAGGGAAUUCGUGCGCACGCGGGAGGGAAAACUGCAUUACCGGUAGAGUAAGGGCUUCGCUCUCCACCAGUGGGAGAAGGGGCUGGAGGGGGGAAAAGCAGGAGCCUCCCUAAAGUAAGUAGGGGUCUGAGAAGUGUGUUUUUUCCCUGGUUCCAAUUUUUUGGAUAGAGGCUUUGCUGGAGUUGCUUAAAAAAACCGUGUCUCAAGAAAUAAGAUUUGUUUUUCGUUCAUCCCUGUUGAGGAGCAUCUCGGAGACUUAUUUUCUCUUUUUGAUCAGCUCGCUUGAAAGUUGGACGGCAUGUAUAGAUUCUAAUAAAGGUAUAUGUGAUUUUGAUACAAAAAAUAGCAUGAUAUGGAAUAUCUUAAAAAAGUAUUCAAAAUAAAGAUAAUGUUUUUGUUGAGGACCUUCUUGGGAAGACAUGUUUUGAAGGAACAAUUGAGGAAUAGGAACUAAAGGAGAACUUCCAAUAAAUGGUUAUUGGACUGGACGAAUUGGUUCGCCAACGUCGACGUUGGAAUUCACGAGAUCUUAUUAUCUACCUCAUGUCACAAAUUCUCCAUAGUUCCAAUACAUUUUAUGACUUCCGAACCUCUCUUCGUUGUAUUGCUAUAAUAAUUAUUCCCUCCAUUCCAAAUUAUAAUCCGUUUUAGCAUUUCUUGAUCUAUAGAUUUUGAUAUGCAUCUAUACAUAGAUGCAUAGUAAAAGCUAUGAAACUAGAAAAUUCAAAACAACCCUAUCGGAGUAACAUCUAAGCCGUGUGCUCAUGUGUACUUGAUGUGAUGCACCCAAAACUUCUCGUGAGCAUUACAUGCAUG
rnacentral:lncRNA from 1 species